rnacentral:rRNA from 1 species
UACGGAGGGUGCAAGCGUUAUCCGGAUUCACUGGGUUUAAAGGGUGCGUAGGUGGGCAAGUAAGUCAGUGGUGAAAUCUCCGGGCUUAACCCGGAAACUGCCAUUGAUACUAUUUGUCUUGAAUGCUGUGGAGGUCAGCGGAAUAUGUCAUGUAGCGGUGAAAUGCUUAGAUAUGACAUAGAACACCAAUUGCGAAGGCAGCUGGCUACACAAAUAUUGACACUGAGGCACGAAAGCGUGGGGAUCAAACAGG